rnacentral:rRNA from 1 species
AUGAAGCACCUACAUCUUCUAGGCCUCCUCCUACUCUCUUGCCCUUGUCUCCUGCUAUGCACGGUCACGCCGGUGGUGGUCGGCAUCCGGCGUGAAGCUGAAGCACUUGUGAAGUGGAAGGCUAGCUUGGACAGUGCUGAUGACUCCUUUGGGUCAUGGUCGUUGGCCAACUCCGCCAGCCUUUGCAGGUGGACGUACAUCACUUGCGACUCGGCCAGGCACAUCAAAGAGCUCAGCAUUUUCAAAGCAAGUCUGAAUGGCACACUUGACGAGUUCGACUUCUCCGCCUUUCCCCAGCUGAAGAGUCUCUACCUGUUAGACACUGGUCUGUACGGAACAAUUCCAGCAGGGAUUGGCAACCUGACGAGUUUGGUCAUGUUGGAGAUUCACAGAAGCCCAUAUUUGAGGGGCGCCAUUCCACGCAGCAUUGGCCAGCUGAAGCACCUUGCUCUACUGCAUCUAACCUUUUUGGGCCUCAAUGGCACGCUGCCUGAAGAGAUUGGUAACUUGACGAAGUUGGAGAAGCUCGAGCUGCACUCCGUUACUUUGACUGGAUCAAUCCCACCAACAAUUGGGAUGCUUGGGAAGCUCCAGGAGCUGAGACUGGUAGGUAACAAUCUUACAGGGAGCAUACCAAUGGAGAUUGGAAACAUGACACAACUGCAAAUCAUGGAGCUGGAAUCUAACUAUUUGGAAGGGCAGCUGCCAGGUACCAUCUUUCAUAUGGUAAAACUCCUGUAUAUGAUUCUGUCAGAAAAUCAGCUGGUAGGUACCAUCUCCCCGGAGCUUGGGAAUAGCAGCCUCUGGUAUGUCGAUAUUGCACACAACAACUUCUCUGGGGUGUUCCCACCAUCCAUUUGCGUAGCAGGAGCGCUGAGUGCGGUCAGUGCUGGACACAAUGGGUUUACGGGAGCUUUUCCUCUAGGUCUUAAGACAUGCAAAAAGCUUGCUGUUCUAGAUCUUGGAGGCAAUAAUUUUUCUGGUACAAUACCUUCUUGGCUACAAGUAUUGGACUUGUCCAAAAACAUGCUCACCGGACCCAUUCCAGAUGAUUUUAGGAAUUUUACUGGCAUGGCACAAGAACAGAACAACAAUGACUUCACAUACAGUGACGCAUAUUCUUAUCAAGUGAAAAUUCAAAUAGUUUGGAAGAAUGCAGAUCGUCUUUACAUUGUGGUGAUAGCAGGCAUGGCCGGCAUCGACUUGUCUGGAAACUCUUUGUCACAGGAGAUCCCAAAUGGGUUCACAACCCUUCUUGGACUUAGAUACCUGAACUUAUCAGGAAAUCAUCUGUCAGGUUGUAUCCCUGAAGACAUUGGCAAUCUAGUACUGCUGGAAUCCUUGGACCUUUCUCGGAACCAACUCAGGGGGGAAAUUCCUCGAGGCUUUGCAGAUUUGAAGAGCAUAAGCAAUCUGAACCUCUCAACCAACAUGUUAUCAGGGAGGAUACCUAUGGGUGAUCAACUGCGGACACUUGAUGACCCGUCAAUAUACAGCAAUAAUCUUGGGUUAUGCGGGUCACCGUUAGAAGACUGCGUAAGCUCGUCAACACCGACGCAAGCUGAAACGAGUCUGGAUGAAGAUAGAGAGACACUGUGGUUUUACUGCUUUGUGGCUGCUGGGUUUAUCUCUGGGUUCUGGCUAUACUUGGGCUUCUUGUUUCGCAGCGAGACAUGGAGUGUGAGAGGGAGACUCGUCAAUGUAAGCGCGUCGGGAAGCUUGCCGACGACGGUGACCCGGCAGAGCGGGCAGGUGGAGCGGGACGCCAGCCACACGCUGAUGCACCCGGCGUGGAACCCGUGGCCGCAGCAGGGCAGGAAUCUCGCCUACUCCCCGUCCUGGAGCCCGGCCAGGCACACCGCGCACUCUAGCACCCCGACGUGGUCCAUCGUGCGGUACACCGUGACCGGCAGCGAGCCCAGCAGCUCCGGGUCGACGCCCCUCGGCGACGCCGUUGCUGAAGAAGUAGUAGCGGAGGAAGCUGAGCGGGAGGGCGACGACCACCUGCAUCCAGCCCCCCGGCGCCGCGCAGAGGUCGAGCAUGGCGCGCGCCGGCGGGAGGAACCGGAAGCGGUCGUCGAGCUGCUGCUGCUUGAAGGCCGCGCGGCUCCGGUAGCCCUGCUCCUUGGCGAGGCGUCUGCCAUUGAAGCCACGAUGAGGCCUCUCCAUCCUGUAGGCCUCCUGCUCUCUUGCUCCUGUCUCCUACUAUGCGCAGUCGCGCCGGUGAGAGCGGACACCCGGCGUGAAGUUGAAGCACUUGUGAGGUGGAAGGCUAGCUUGUCCGGUGCCGAUGAGUCCCUUGGGCCAUGGUCCAUGGCCAACUCCACCAGCCUUUGCAGCUGGACGCAAAUCACCUGCGAUCCGGACGGGUCGCACAUAAGAGAUCUCGACCUUGCCUACAUAAGUCUCAACGGCACACUUGACAAGUUAGACUUCUCAGCCUUUCCCCACUUGAGGAGUCUCAUCCUGAUCCAGAAUGGUCUAAUCGGUACAAUUCCAGCAGCGAUUGGCAACCUGGCGAGCUUGGUCAUCCUGAGGAUCAUGCACAACCCGUACUUAAGGGGGGGCAUUCCACGCAGCAUUGGACAGCUGAAGCAACUUUCUGUACUGCAACUGGAAGCUUUGGGGCUCCAUAGUACACUACCUGAAGAGAUUGGUAACUUGACAAGCUUGACAUUGCUCGAUAUCAAUUUGGUUAGUUUGGCAGGAUCGAUCCCACCAACAAUUGGGAUGCUCAUACAGCUCCGUGAGCUGAGCCUGAUAGGCAAUAAUUUGACAGGGAGCAUCCCAAUGGAGAUAGGAAACAUGACAGGACUGCAGACCGUAGACCUUCAUGAGAACUAUUUGGGAGGGCAGCUGCCAGGUACCAUCUCUCAUCUGGUCAAACUCCAGUAUUUGCAUCUGUCAGAAAAUCAGCUGGUAGGUCACAUCUUCCCCGGGCUUGGAAAUAGCAGCCUCCUUGAGGUAGUCCGCAUGGCAAACAACGACUUCUCUGGGGCGUUCCCAUCAUCCAUUUGCGUAAAAGGAGCACUGUGGACUGUCAGCGCUGAAUACAAUGGAUUUACGGGUAUCCACCAUCAGACAUUUCAAAACUGCACAACCCUGCAAGAAGUUGACUUCACGGCGAACAACAUUGUCGCAGAGCUGAGUGACUGUUUUAGUGAGCAUCCAGCACAGCUUAGCACCAUGGCUUUGAGUCAAAACCAGCUGCAUGGCACGCUUCUCACGGAUCGGGAUCUUGGAGGCAAUGAUUUCUCUGGCACAAUACCUUCUUGGAUAUUGGACUUAUCAAAAAACAAGCUCAUUGGACCUGUUCCAGACGAUUUUAGGAAUUUUACUGGCAUGGCAGAAGAACAGAGAAGGUACCCUGACAGCAAAUUUUAUCAAGUGCAAAUUCAUAUAGUUUGGAAGAAUGUGGAUUAUGUUUACAAUCUGAGGAUAGAAGCCAUGGUAGGUAUCGACUUAUCAGGUUGUAUUCCGGAAGACAUUGGCAAUCUGGUAUGGCUAGAAUCCUUGGACCUCUCACGGAACCAGCUCUCAGGAGAAAUUCCUUCAAGCUUUGCAUCUUUGAAGAGCAUGAGCGUUCUGAACCUCUCAAGCAAUGGUUUGUCAGGGAGGAUACCUACAGGCAAUCAGCUGCAGACACUUGUAGACCCAUCGAUAUACAGCAAUAAUCCUGGGCUAUGUGGAUUCCCGUUGAAGGACUGUGUAAACUCGACACCGACGCAAAACGAAGUGAGCCAGGCUGAAGAUAGAGAGGCGUUGUGGUUGUAUUGCUUUGUGGCUGCUGGAUUCAUCUUCGGGUUCUGGCUGUACUGGGGCAUCUUCUUGGUCCGCAGCGAGUCCUGGAGGUGCGCAUUCUAUCAGCAUGUGGACAACAUGCAAGCCAAGGUAACCAAGAAGAUACAACCAAGCCAUCAUGUAGUGGACGGCCGGCCGGCCGGCUCGUCCAGAGGCUUUAUAUCCUCUGCGGCAGUGAAGCACCAUUCCUACCAAGCCAUCAUGAAGCACCUACAUCUUGUAGGCCUCCUCCUUCUCUCUUGCCCUUGUCUCCUGCUAUGUGCCGUCACGCCGGUGGUAGCCGGCAUCCGGCGUGAAGCUGAAGCACUUGUGAAGUGGAAGGCUAGCCUGGCCGGUGCCCAUAAGUCACUUGGGCAAUGGUCGUUGGCCAACUCCACUAGCCUUUGCAGGUGGACUUACAUCACUUGCGACUCGGCCGGGCACAUCACAGUGCUCCAGCUUGUCCACGCAAACCUGAGUGGCACACUUGACGAGUUGGACUUCUCUGCCUUUCCUCACAUGGAGAAACUCAUCAUGUUUGGCAAUGGUCUACAUGGCACAAUUCCAGCCGGGAUUGGCAACCUGACAAGCUUGGUUGUGUUGGACCUCGGUGAAAACCCGUAUUUGAGGGAGAUUGGUAACUUGACGAGCUUGGAGGCGCUCGGUAUCAAUUCGGUUACUUUGACAGGAUCGAUCCCACCAACAAUUGGGAUGCUCACGAAGCUCCGCUCGCUGGGCCUUUGGAACAAUAAUCUGACAGGGAGCAUCCCGCUGGAGAUUGGAAACAUGACAGAACUGAACACCAUAUCCCUUCAUAGUAACUAUUUGGAAGGGCAGCUGCCAGGUGCCAUCUCUCAUCUGAGAAAACUCAAGUACUUGGAUCUGUCAGAAAAUCAACUUGGAGGCCACAUCUUCCCCGAGCUUGGGAAUAGCAGUCUCCUGGGUGGUGUCAACAUUGCAGAGAACAACUUCUCUGGGGUGUGCCCGGCAUCCAUUUGCGUAGGAGGAGCACUGGGAUUUCUCUUUGCUGAGUACAAUGGAUUUACCGGCAUUCACCAUCAGACCUUUCAAAACUGCACAACCUUGCUGGAUGUUGACUUCACAGCAAACAACAUUGUUGCAGAGCUAAGGGACUGUAUUAGUGAGCAUCCAGGACGGCUGGUCUCCAUGGCUUUCAGUCAAAACCAGCUGUAUGGAACGUUUCUGACAGGACGCGGUCUUAAGAAAUGCAAAACCCUUUUUGCUCUAGAUCUUGGAGGCAAUAAUUUCUCUGGUAGAAUACCUUCUUGGGAGAUCCCAAAAGGGAUCACAGCCCUUAUUGGCCUCAGGUACCUGAACUUAUCAGGAAAUCAUUUGUCAGAUUGUAUUCCUGAAGACAUUGGCAAUAUGGUACUGCUAGAAUCCUUGGACCUUUCUCGGAACCAACUCUGGGGGGAAAUUCCUCAAAGCCUGGCAGCUUUGAAGAGCAUCAGCGUGCUGAACUUCUCGAGCAAUAGUUUGUCAGGGAGGAUACCUACAGGCGAUCAGCUACGGACACUCAUAGAUCCUUCCAUAUACAGUAAUAAUCCUGGGCUAUGCGGAUUUCCAUUGGAAGAAUGCAUAAACUCCUCAACACCGGCGCAAACUGAAAAAAGCCUGGAUGAAGAUAGAGAGGCAUUGUGGUUGUAUUGCUUCGUGGCUGCUGGGUUCAUCUUCGGGUUCUGGCUCUACUGGGGCAUCUUCAUGUUUCGCAGCGAGACCUGGAGGUGUGCAUUUUACCAGCAUGUGGACAACAUGCAAGGGAAGGUGACCAAGAAGAUGUAUAACUUCAUGUCGCGCUUCCAGGCCGACGGCUCCGAAUGA